UUGCAUUUAAUCUCAUCUCUCGAUCUUCUGAGCAAGAUACGGAUCAAAUCUUAGGAUAUUAUCUUGGAGCUCUUUGAUCGAAUUUUGAACUUCAUCUUUGACUCUCUUGUUUCAAGAUGAAAUCUUAUCAUCGGAGCAAUCCGUGGCUCAGAAAGAUUCGGCUGUCACGUCCGGGUAUUUUCUAACCUAAUAGAAGUGGAAAUUAUUUGAAGAUGUCAACCAACGGAAGUUUGGAUGGAUUCUAUUGCGGUCACGCACAUAAUGUGUUCGUAUUUCCUUCGAAGACCACAAACGCAAUUUUCAAGCAUCAGGGUCAGGGAAUGGAGCGCUUGAACAGGAAUCUUUCUUGAGUAAUGAAGAAAAUAUAAUAGGACGAGUCUGGAUUGUGAAAAAUAAGAUCUUCCAUAUAAAAUGAAAUAAAAGAUUCCUUCGUAAUACAUUCAUAAUAAAA